rnacentral:rRNA from 1 species
AACGAACGCUGGCGGCAUGCCUAACACAUGCAAGUCGAACGAGACCUUCGGGUCUAGUGGCGCACGGGUGCGUAACGCGUGGGAAUCUGCCCUUGGGUUCGGAAUAACAGUUGGAAACGACUGCUAAUACCGGAUGAUGACGUAAGUCCAAAGAUUUAUCGCCCAAGGAUGAGCCCGCGUAGGAUUAGCUAGUUGGUGAGGUAAAGGCUCACCAAGGCGACGAUCCUUAGCUGGUCUGAGAGGAAGAUCAGCCACACUGGGACUGAGACACGGCCCAGACUCCUACGGGAGGCAGCAGUGGGGAAUAUUGGACAAUGGGCGAAAGCCUGAUCCAGCAAUGCCGCGUGAGUGAUGAAGGCCUUAGGGUUGUAAAGCUCUUUUACCCGGGAUGAUAAUGACAGUACCGGGAGAAUAAGCACCGGCUAACUCCGUG